rnacentral:rRNA from 1 species
AAUAAAUGUAAUUAUAAUUUAAAAGAGAUUAAAUGAUAGGUCAUUAAAUUUAAAAGAUUUGGCAGUAUUUAAUAUUUAGAGGAACCUGUAUAUUAAUUGAUAAUCCACGAUAAGAUAUACUUGAUUUUAAGUUUAUGUAUUGCUGUUUUUAAUAUUUAAUUAAGUUAGAUAAAUAUAAUUUAUAAGAUUUAUUAAAAUAAUUCAAGUCAAAAUAUAGCUUAGUUAAGAUUAAUAUGGGUUACAAUUAAUUUAAUUAUUGGAUUAAAAAAUUUAAAUUUUUUAUGAAAAUGGAUUUAAAAGUAAAUUUAAUUAAUUUAUUAAAUUGAAUAAUAAAUUAAAUAUGU